rnacentral:lncRNA from 1 species
UCAUUAUGACUUUUUAUUUUUCGUAUAUAUCUUGUUCUAUAGGAUAUUAACUACGAAAAAAAACGACAACAACUACAAUUAAUCACCCCGUAUUGUAUAUAUUAACAACUUAAGAGGUGUCCCAAAUUUUAUUCUCUUGUAACACGUCAUUGUGUAACGCGAUAUUUCCUGGUCUUGUUUAUAAUCUACCAUAAAGAAUUAAUUUAGUUGAAGUGACAAUACUAGCUCAUCGUACUUGACACAUUCCUGAACAAUUCCGCCAUCUUUUUUUCGUGUUAGUUGGAAGAACGUGUUGGAGCAGACUGUUUGUCGUUAAGAAAAGGUUAGUUCGUGUUGUAAAUUACAUCCGUUGUGCGACAGAGUGACACAAAUUGUGCGACGUAUUACAACGGAAAUUAUAAAGGAAAGUGUAGAUUGUAAUAUUUAAGAACAAUAAAAUUUUUGAUCACUACA